UGCCCGGCUCGGGCGAGGUCGCGGGGCGCUCCCGGGUUUGUCGUGCCCGGUUCGGGCCGUGCUCGGGGCGCUCCCGGGUUUGUCGUGCCCGGUUCGGGCGG